rnacentral:rRNA from 1 species
AUGAAAAUAGUAAGCUGGAACUGCCGGGGUCUCGGGAAUGGCCAGGCAGUUCGCAGCCUCCUCGAGAUGGGAAGGAAGGAGGAGCCUGAUAUUUUGUUCCUGGCAGAAACUAAAAUGACAGUGAAGGAGUUGGAGUGAUUUAGAUGGCUUUUGGGCCUUGCAAAUAUGAAUGCAUGGAAUUCGGAUGGGAGGAGUCAUGGAGUGGCUAUGUUUUGGAGGAGGGGAGUGGAGGUAGGACUGAGAUCUUAUGGGCGGAGGCAUAUUGAUGUAGAUGUGAAGGAAGAAAGUGGGAUUGUG